rnacentral:rRNA from 1 species
AUUGAACGCUGGCGGCAGGCCUAACACAUGCAAGUCGAGCGGAGCGGGGGACGGGGGAGUAAUGCCUAGGAAUCUGACUGGUCGUGGGGGAUAACGUUCGGAAACGGGCGCUAAUACCGCAUCCUAUCAGAUUAGCCUAGGUCGGAUUAGCUGGUUGGGGGGGUAAAGGCCAACCAAGGCGACGAUCCGUAACUGGUCUGAGAGGAUGAUCAGCCACACUGGAACUGAGACACGGUCCAGACUCCUACGGGAGGCAGCAGUGGGGAAUAUUGGACAAUGGGCGAAAGCCUGAUCCAGCCAUGCCGCGUGUGUGAAGAAGGUCUUCGGAUUGUAAAGCACUUUAAGUUGGGAGGCGUUACCAGCAGAAUAAGCACCGGCUAACUCCGUGCCAGCAGCCGCGGUAAUAC